rnacentral:rRNA from 1 species
GACGAACGCUGGCGGCGGGCUUAACACAUGCAAGUCGAACGGAAAGGCCCUGCUUGCGUGGGGUGCCCGAGUGGCGAACGGGUGUGUAACAUGUGAGUAACCUGCCCUGGACUUGGGGACAACCUCAGAAAACUGCUGCUAAUACCGGCUAGGAGCUCCUGCAGCAGGGUGGGGGUCGGAAAGCUUGGGCGGAUGGGGACGGACUCGGGGCUAAUUAGCUGGUGGGUGGGGUACUUGCUAACCCAGCCUUUGACGGCUAGCCCGCCUGGGAGGGUGACCGGCCACAAUGGGACUGAGAGACGGAGCAGACUCGUACGGGAGGCAGCGGUGGGGAGUAUUGCACAAUGAGCGGGAGCGUGAGGCAGCAACGCCGCGUGCGGGAUGACGGCCUUCGGGUUGUAAAGCGCAUUCGCCUGUGACGUAGCGUGAGUGACGGUAAUGGGUAAAGAAGCACCGGCUAACUACGU